UACGAAGGGGGCUAGCGUUGCUCGGAAUUACUGGGCGUAAAGCGCACGUAGGCGGCUUUCUAAGUCGGGGGUGAAAUCCUGGAGCUCAACUCCAGAACUGCCUUCGAUACUGGAAAGCUCGAGUCCGGGAGAGGUGGGUGGAACUGCGAGUGUAGAGGUGAAAUUCGUAGAUAUUCGCAAGAACACCAGUGGCGAAGGCGGCUCACUGGCCCGAUACUGACGCUGAUGCACGAAAGCGUGGGGAGCAAACAGG
rnacentral:rRNA from 1 species